CAGGUAUAUGUUUAUUAAAUCUCUAUUGAAACUUCUGCGGCGUUGUUCCUCUUUGCUUAAUACCUUGUCAAACUUCGUCCCCGUUGGCAGGGAGAGUUAGGUUAGGUUAGUGAGGUUGUAAGUUAGGUUAAGUUAGUAUGUUGGGUUAGUGGGGUAAGUUAGGCUAGGUUAGGUUGGUAAGGUUGUAAGUUAAGUUAGGUUAGUAUGUUGGGUUAGUGGGGUAAGUUAGGUUACGUUAAGUUAGUGAGGUAAGUUAGGUUGGGUUAGUGAGGUAAGUUAGGCUAGGUUAGGUUAGUGAGGUUGUAAGUUAAGUUAGGUUUGUAUGUUGGGUUAGUGAGGUAAGUUAGGUUAGGUUAGGUUAGUGAGGUUGUAAGUUAGGUUAGUAUGUUGGGUUAGUGAGGUAAGUUAGGUUAGGUUAGUGAGGUAGCAUAGCAAGUUAAGUUUGGUUAGUAUGUUGGGUUAGCUAGGUAAGUUAGGUUAGGUUAGGUUAGUAAGUUAGGUUAGGUUGAUAAGGUAUUGGAUUAGUUUAUAUCGGUGAGGUAGUGACUUACAAUAGGUUAGUUAGUUACGUUAGAUUAGUUAGUUAGGUUAGGUUAGUGAGCUAGUAAGUUAGGUUAGGUUAGGUUAGUAAAUUAGGUUAGGUUGAUAAGGUAUUGGAUUAGUUUAUAUUGGUGAGGUAGUGACGUUAGAUUAGUUAGUUAGGUUAGGUUAGUGAGCUAGUAAGUUAGGUUAGGUUAGUGAAUUAGUAAAGUGUUGGGUAUAGGCUAGUCCUUCACUUAAUUUAAAGCCAGGAGUGUGUUUAAAUAUGCUGACGUUCACAUAAAGGAAAAUCUGGCCCUAUUCUUAAGCCUUUAGGAUCCUAGACACACAUAAAUUAUUUGACACGUUUUUCGUCUGAGUUUGGGGCAUUUCCAGGGGUAGUUUUAUGACCCUGGUGAUAGUCUGACCCUUCUUCUGUACCAUGAACCUAAAAAAAAACACUCAUGAGAACGCGAUGACCUCCUUUGUGGACUUUGGGAAUAGUUAAUGAGAGAGAGGCAGAAUGGUCUUACAAUGCCGACCUACUAGUCAUGGAUGGAGGAGCUUGUACAGGAAAAAGAGGAAGGCAAUAGGGCGGAAGUGUGAAGGAUAACAUUGUCUCUAGCGGCAAAAGGAAGGACAUAGGUUGAAGAGGUGAUAAUUUAAACCAAGCGGAAAUAUGACACGCGACCACAGUAACGCAACAGUGACAUUUAGUGAAGCAAGAACAGUGAGGGAAAGACAGAGACGGUCGGAAAUAAGAACUCGGAAAUAGUAACACACGACAAAGAUAGACAGUUAAGGAAGAAGAGUAAGGGAACAGAAGUUAAGGAAAGACAUAGAGGAAACUGUGACUUAAAAGGGAAUAAGAUAACAGAGGGAACAGGACCCAAGAAAAGACACUUUCCCUUCUCACAUCAGCUAUUUCCAAAAGCCAAAAAUGAGAUCAAUCGGGUUCUAAUGAGUGUUCUUUUAAACUCAUGGUACAGGAGAAGGAUCAAGCUACCAUCAGGGCCAUAAAACUACCCCAGGAAAUGCCCCAAACUCUACGAAUGCCUUGUCAAAUAUAUGAACUUGGGCGCAGAAAUCUUUACUAAUACGACUCUUUUAGAUAUGGGCGGAAUGAAGGCGUGUAGGAAAUGGUUACGUGGGAAGAAGAGUAUAGUGGGUUAGGUAAUGGAACGGAAGGAUGGAAAGGUCACGAAGAGGUUUUUAUUGUUAGAGAACGCGAGUGGAAAGGGGAAUGAAGACAGGAAGGAAGAGUGAGUAGGUGGGAACAACGUUAGGUUAGGUAAAUACAGGAACGUAAGAAGUAUUUAAAUUAGGAAGAACAGAGACUUGGUAGAUGGAAAGGACGCAUAUAAGGAUGACGAAGAGGUUUUUAUUGUUAGAGAACGCGAGUGGAAAGGGAAAUGAAGACAGGAAGUACAUAGAUUAAAUACAGGAACGUAAGAAGUAUUUAAAAUAGGAAGAACAGAGACUUGGUAGAUGGAAAGGACGCAUAUAAGGAUGACGAAGAGGUUCUUGUUGGAAGAGAAGGAAAAUGGAAAGGGAAAUGAAGACAGGAAGAAAGAGUGGGUAGGUGGGAACAACGUUAACUUAGGUAAAUACAGAAACGUAGGAAGUACUUAAGAUAGAAAGAACAGAGACUUGGGUAGAUGGAAAGUAAACACGGGUAGGUAACGAAUGUGUUGUUUUAAGAGGAGAGUAGAAGAGAAAAUACAGGAAGAUGGAAGAUGAAAAUGGAAGAAAAGAGUAUUAAUGAAAAGAAAGCAUAGGCGAAGUUACUGUUUUAAGAUGAGAGUGGAAGGGAAAUUAGACAUCAUCAGGAUAGGCCUCUCUCUCCUCCCGAAAUUGACCUCUCUUUCGGCCACUCCUCUGAACUUUUUUUUUUUAAUAGGAGCAGUGAGUAGCGGGCUUUUUUUCAUUCUUUUUUCCUUUUUUUUUAACAUUGAGCUUUUCCUCUGCUAUAAAAAAAAAUAAGAGGUGAUUCAAUGGGAAGAAGAGUGACUUAGGCAAUGGAAGGGAAAUACGGGAUAGAUGAUUUAGAUUUAUUUCAAGAGAAGGAGAGUUACAGGAAAAUGUCAAGGGGAAGGAAGGAAUUACGUAGACAGAACAUUGGGUUAGGUAAUAUAGACUCGCACUUGAGAAAGAUGACGAAUUGAAUACCGAGAAGGAGAGUGGAAAAGAAAAUGUAUAAACUUGAAGGAAGAAAUUACGUAGAAAGAAUAUUGGGUUUGGUAACAGAAACUCGCACAUGAGAAAGAUGACGAAUUGAAUACCGAGAAGGAGAGUGGAAAAGAAAAUGUAAAAACUUGAAGGAAGAAAUUACGUAGAAAGAACAUUGGGUUAGGUAACAGAAACUCGCACUUGAGAAAGAUGACGAAUAAGUUGUUUUUGAGAAGUGUGAGGCAGAUAAAAAAUUAGAAAUGACAAGUUGAAGUGACUAAAGGUGUGGUACGGAGUUUAAUGUAAGAGGAGAGAGAGAAUAAAGGAGAAAGAGAGACAGGAAGGAAGUGAUGAAUUAGGAAGAACAGAGAGUUAGGUAAUUUAAAGGAAACAUUGAAAGCCUGACGAAUUAGUUAAAGAGAAGCACAUAGUAGAUAGUUGAAGUGAAGGGAAUGUGGUUUAUAAGGAAGCUAAUCUGAAGAGUGGAAUUGAAAUAUGAACAGGAAGGGAGGAAGGCAGAAGAACGUUUGGUUAGGUAACAGAAAGAAGUGAGUGACGAGAAUUUGAAAUGCAGAUAAAAAAAAAAAAAGUGAAGGGGCAAUUAUGCGGUAGGAAAUUCAAUUUAAGAAAGUGAAAGGUUUGGACGGGAAGGACGCGAUGAAAUGGGAAGAAGAGAGCGUUAAGAAAUAUGAAGAAAACAUGGGAAUUGUGACGAUAAUUUGUAAAAGUGUGUGGUAUAUAAAAAUAACGAGUUGGAGGGAAAACUGUGUGAGGAAAGGUUAAUCUUAAGUCUUUUUGAAGAGAUUAGGGAAAGAGAAGUAUAUAAGGAACUAAGCGAAAAGAUUGGAUUGGGUAAUAGAAUGGAAGCAUAGAUGGGUGACUGUUUUUACAAGAGAAUGAGAGUUAAAUAAAUAUAAACAGAAAGGAAGGAAUUACGUAAAAAGAACAGUGGGUUAGGCAAAGGAAAGGAAACACAGACAGGAAUUAAGUGAGAAAAUUGGAUUGGGUAAUAGAAUGGAAGCGUAGAUGGGUGACUGUUUUUACAAGAGAAUGAGAGUUAAAUAAAUAUAAACAGAAAGGAAGGAAUUACGUAGAAAGAACAUUGGGUUAGGCAAAGGAAAGGAAACACAGACAGGAAUUAAGUGAGAAAAUUGGAUUGGGUAAUAGAAUGGAAGCAUAGAUGGGUGACUGUUUUUUUUUUUAAGAGAAUGAGAGUUAAAUAAAUAUAAACAGAAAGGAAGGAAUUACGUAAAAAGAACAGUGGGUUAGGCAAAGGAAAGGAAACACAGACAGGAAUUAAGUGAGAAAAUUGGAUUGGGUAAUAGAAUGGAAGCGUAGAUGGGUGACUAUUUAUUUAUUUAUUUUUUUUUUUUCAAGAGAAGGGGAGUUAAAGGAAAAUAUAAACUGAAGGAAGGAAUUACGUGGAAAGAACAUUGGGUUAGGCAAAGGAAAGGAAACACAGACAGGAAUUAAGUGAGAAAAUUGGAUUGGGUAAUAGAAUGGAAGCAUAGAUGGGUGACUUAUUUAUUUAUUUAUUUAUUUAUUUAUUUAUUUAUUUUAUUUUUUUUGACACAGACAGCUGACGAAGAUCUUACAAAAGGACACUGACUGAUAACCACAUACUUCAAACAACAAAUUCAUCUACUAUCCUCUACUUUCUUGUUAUUGUAACUUUCCACUUAAACCCUUCUAUACAUAUCCCUUCCACUCCCAUCCUAAAUUGAUUUCUCUAUGUAGGGUACCACUUUUAUUUUACAACAAAGGAAACAGCUCAAGGGCCCUACUUCCUCUUUAUUUUAACUUUCCACUUAAUUCCUUCUAUAUUUCCCUUCCACUCACAUCUUAAAUUGAUCUCUCUAUGUAUCACACUUUUUUUUUUUUUUAACAGCAAAUGAAACAGCUCAAGGGCCCUUCUUCCUUUCUAUUGUAAAUUUCCACUUAAUUCCUUCUAUAUAUAUUUCCCUUCCACUCUCAUCUUAAAUUGAUCUCUACGUACGGUACCACACUUUUUAUUUACAGCAAAGGAAACACUUCAAGGGCAACCAAAAAAUAGGGAAAUAACAAUGAAAAUAAGUCCCUUCAACUUGUCAUUCUCAUCUACCACACUUCCCUCAACAACACCAAAUUCGUCUACACCUAACAAAAGCAAGCAAGACGUCCUGUGCUGCCUGGGAAACGCAUCCACAAACAAGACACAGGACAGGAAACGGUUAUCAGGAGCGCGAUGAUGACCACCGGGUGAAGACGUUAAGGAAAGGACGCGUGGGAGAGAUGACAUCGAUGCUGCUUCUUGGGAACGAUGACGGGGCAAGAGAGGAGGCUGGUUACACAGUUCAAGGGUGGGGCAAGGUGUUGACGUGAUUUUGACCCCCAAGUCCUUAACGCAUUGAACGCUUUUGGGUUUAACGCCGCGCAUUUCGUAGAGAGAGAGAGAGGGGGUGGGGGAGGAUUGGGAGGGGGGGGGGGC